CUCUCCCUGCACCGCAAGGAAGAGCAGGUUGUUCCUGUGUUGUGCAGAGACCUUGCUUGUUGGAGUGCUGGUGUCUGUUCCUGGCAGCAAUGACAAGGCUGAGUGCAGGAACAAGGAGGUGCUCUGGUACAAACCACUUGUCUGAAGUAAACAAUGUCUUUUAGGACUUUCCCGGUAUCUGAGGCACCUGCUGUUUAGAUCUGCAGCAGACUUGCUGGAUUCUGUGUGUGGAAUGUGUGAAACGUGGUUGUUCUUCUGGCAGGAUAAGAAGUUUUGCCUUCAUUGCUGUAUCUAAAACGGGGUCUGGGUCUUGUGUAAACUUCAGUGAAAUCCAAACUGAAUCCAUCAGGCUCCAUGAAACCAUUCCACCUUCACCCUGCUGGAGUCUGUCCGGGUGCUCUGGCGCUGUGGCACGGUGUCAUCCAGGGAGAAUUUAAGCAAUAAGGAACUGGGCUACAAGGCAGGUUUAUGAAGAGUUUUACAAAACUGCCCCCCUCCA